GAUGAACGCUGACAGAAUGCUUAACACAUGCCAGUCUUUGGUGAAGCUGUGCUUGCACAGCCUAGCCAAGGCGGACGGGUGAGUAACGCGUAAGGAACUUGCCCUGCAGUCAGGGAUAACAGACGGAAACGACUGAUAAGACCUGGUAAAGUCAGGCGGACUCAUGUCCAGCCUGAUGAAAAGAGAUGCUGCAGGAGAGCCUUGCGUCCUAUUAGCUUGUUGGUGGGGUAACGGCCCACCAAGGCAAUGAUAGGUAGCCGGCCUGAGAGGGUGGACGGCCACAAGGGGACUGAGAGACGGCACUUACUCCUACGGGAGGCAGCAGUGGGGAAUAUUGGACAAUGGGGGCAACCCUGAUCCAGCAAUUCUGUGUGCACGAUGAAGGUUUUCGGAUUGUAAAGUGCUUUCAGCAGGGAAGAAAAAAAUGACGGUACCUGCAGAAGAAGCGACGGCUAAAUACGUG
rnacentral:rRNA from 1 species